ACAAUGCGGGACUAUCAGUCUUGCAAUUGGAUUGAGAACAAUGUACAACUCUUAUCGAUAAGCCAUUGGAGGGCAAGUCUGGUGCCAGCAGCCGCGGUAAUUCCAGCUCCAAUAGCGUAUAUUAACGUUGUUGCAGUUAAAAAGCUCGUAGUUGAAGUGUGGGUGAUCGCUGUUGAGAGACUUCGGUCUCUCGACAGUAAGUCACCCCCUUCCAGUAUCCAGUAGUGGGUAUUCACUUACUUACUAUUGUGUGUUGGUCGUUUACUGUGAGAAAAUUAGAGUGUUCAAAGCAGGCGUUUGCUUGAAUAGAUUAGCAUGGAAUAAUAAUUGAAGGCUUUCGUGUUCGAUUUGAUUGGUUUGUUCAUGGAAGCAAGGUUAAAAGGAACAGUUGGGGGUAUUCAUAUUCACUAGUUA
rnacentral:rRNA from 1 species